GUUUUUUUUGUUUGUUUGGUGACCUGUUUAAGAAAAGUCACGAACAUUCUCUCUGUUCUCUUCUGAAGCUUUGUAAUUUUAGGUUUUUUGUUUAGGUCUAUAAUCCAUCUCCACUUCUGAGCAUGAAGUGUGAUAAGGGUCAAUGCUCACUUUUAAAUCUCCAGUCGUUCUAGCACCAUUCAAAAUGAAAAAGACUUUCCUUCCCCAUUGAAUCACACAGGUGCCUUAUCAGUUGGGCACAUGCGUGUGGGUCUGCUUCUAGACUUUCUAUUCUGUUUCCUUGAUCUCAUUGUCUAUUCUUAUGCCAAUACCACAUUGUCCCAAUUAUAAUAGCUUUACAGCGAGUUCUAAAUUAGGUAGUGCAACUUCUCUGUGGGGUAGCAUAGUUUUGACUUAUCACCCCAUUCCUCCCAGUAUUUCUUCUUAGCCCUUUUCCUCACUCAGACAGUUCCGUGCUGAUCACCAAGGCGAGGUGGGUGUAAGAGAAUGCAGGGCAGAAAGAAGGGGUCCCUUCCCGGCUUUGGUUUUCAAAGCCCAAGUCCUGAGAGGAACAGAGACACGAAGUUUGGAGAACACACUGUGGCAGAGAGCAGUGCCCCCUCCCACUUCUAAACAACCAACCUUCUGAGACUAGAGAAAAAUCCCCUAGGCUGGGAGGAGAGAGGAGAACCCGAGGGAAUUAGAGAGCAGCUACGUACCCCAAUACCUUGGGUAGGGACUCAGGAGCCAGCCAGGCCCCAGGGAGGGACGGAGCAGCCUCGCAUCCCCAGGCUCUGGAUGGCUGAGACCAGCAGGACAAACCUCGGCCCCCACCAUGGCCCAGAGAGAGCUGCCCCUGAAGGGUCUGUGAGGCUGGAACAGCGGCCAUCCCAGCAGGGCCCCCAAUGCACAGGUGGCCCUGAGGAAAGUCACCCCAAUGCCUUGGCUCUCCGUGAACCUCCUGGAAAGUCAGUCCCAACAUGAAGAGAAGGCGGUGAAGGAUCCUGAAUUGGUUGGUUGAUUUUCUGUCACUCUGGUGGCAGAAAAUCUCGGCUGAGUUAGGAAGGGUAAGAAAGUCAUAUCUCUUGAGCACCUGAGUUGGUUGUUUAAGGUUUAUUCUCACUUAUAUAGAACUGCUAACAAACCACAUUUCUGGGACUAUGCCUAAUGUUAACAAAGAGUGGUGAUGGGGCAGGGGACACACCCAUUGUGACAGGGGAGGAGCUGGCGGGGAGGGAGCGGGGAGCCCUGGCCAGUUGGUUGGCCUGCCUCACUUCUGCUCCAGCCCCUGGGUUUGGGAAAGCAGACUGCCAGCAAACAAUUCCACCCCAUAAUAUGUUCUGGUUCUAGUUCCUCUGCCCUCCAAGGCUUUAAUCAAGUCCUUCCAUUUAAUGUGUUGACCUCAUCUCGAGCAACUCAGAGGACAUUCAGUGGGUCCCAAGCAACAGCCCUCAAGAUCCGCAGGGAGCAAAGUUUGGAGGUGAGUCCAUCUCCCACACGGCAGGGACUGUUUGGGAAGCUGAGGUUCCCAGUGAGGACAUUGUCUUGUGCCGGCUGCAGAGGACAUUGAGGUGGGGCUACCUCGUGCUUCACGGUCCUGGCAUUAUUUUCCAUGCCAUCCCUGUCCUGACUACACCCCUUUUAGGUAUGGAAAACUGAUGCUUCAGCCCUAUUUAUUAAGUGCCAGGAAAGUCUAGCCUGCAUGUUGUUUUGUUAUAUUAGCGUGUUCAGCCUGCACCGUAACUCCAAGAAUGUAAAAGAGUCAUUUCAAAAUGCAUUGAAUUAAUACAUUCCUUUGCUGUGAUGCCAUGUCCACCAAAUGUUCCUAAAUGAGACACAUGGAAAAUGGAAAAUAGACCAAAAAUAUUUGCCUGACUGACACUGGAUUAGGGUGUCCACAAGAGUAUAAACACACACACCCACUGCACACAUACACACUGCAGGGUGGGCCCUGGUAUUAGGGCUCUUUCAAAGCAGCCAAGGCUGGGCUGCUGAUUUCAGGGCUGUCCCUGGGCCUGGCUAUGCUGGGGUGAAGCUAGGGGUCCCGGGUUUGAGGAAUGUAGUCACCUGGAGCUCAGGGAGAACCCUUGUGCCCACUGCCUGGGCAGCCCAGAGAGGUGUUGGGGCUGUCAUUCCAGGCUGAGAAAGCCAUCACCAUUCAGGGGCUUGGAAGAAAGGGGGAUGAAUCAGGACUUCGAGUUCAUUGCUAAAUGCAGCCUAGCUCCUCUCUGGGGUCCUGUAGCCUGGACUCUUGGUGCAGGUCUGCGUGGCUCUGCUUAAGGGAGCACUGCACUCAUUCACCCUUCCAGCAGUCAAGCCGUGACGCGCAAAGGCCUCUUACUCAUCCCGAAGUCAUCAGUCAUGUUUCCAAGAGUGCUUGACCAGGAGACUUGGCUGCCUUCAGAGUAGAGCCUUUUCCAAGGAUGGAACAGGUGGAAGAGCCAGGAAACCACAAGUAGGAUGGAGAGUUGGUGACUGGGUCUGGCCAGACUAUGGGGGGUGACCCAGCAUCCUGCCGCCCAAACCUGAGGAGGUUUCACAGCCCACUGUUUCCCGGAGAACCAUUAGAAUGUGUCCUUAGAUCCCUGGGGGAGGAAGCCCCACAGGAAACACACCUGGGAAAAGAACUCCCAUUUUGAGGCUACAUUAUUAUCCCCAUUGUGCUGAUGAGGAAACUCAGGCUUCAGAGGUCAUGUCACUUGGGCCAUAUCACCCAGCUAGUCAGGGAAGGGGAUGGGACGUGAGUCCAGAUCUGACAGCAUGGUGGCCGCUCCACUGCAUCAUCCCGCCCUAGAAAGUCUACGACAGCCCAGAAAAAGCACCUGCACCUCCCUACCGCAGACGCUAACUCUGACGAUGACCAGAGAGAAAACCUGGCCUAGGACAAUGACUUCUUGAGAUCAGAGGCCGUAAUGGGUUGAAUUGUGCCUCCACCCCUCCAAAUUCCCAUGCUGAAGCCCUAACGCCCAAUAUCUGAGAAUGUGAUCCUAUUCGGAGAUAGGGCCUUUGAUGAGGUGAUUAAAUCAACCUGAGGUCAUUAGGGUGGGUCCUAGGUCAAUGUGACCUGUGUCCUUACAAGAGGCGCUUAGGGCAGGCAGACAGAGGGAAGACCACGUGCCCGCAGCGAGGUGGCCGUCACCCCCCCAAGCCAGGAAGAGAGGCCUGAGGAGAAAUAAACCCUGCUGACACCUCUCCGACUUCCAGCCUCCAGAAUUGUGAGAAAAUAAAUUUCUGUUGUUUAGGCCCCUCCAGCGUGUGGUAUUUUGUGAUGCCAGCUCUAGCAGGCUAGUACAGAGCCCCUUUAAAAAGUCAUCUGUGUCCCCAGUCCCUGUACACAGUAGGCACCGAAUCCACCUUUGCCGACUGGCUGAAGGAAGUGAGUGCCACCAGCACUGGGCUCUCGAAUAGGCAGAGACGACUCAAAGUUUGAUGUUUGCAACCAGCCUCCUUCCUCUUGUUGAAACUUCCUGUUUCUGAGGAACAGAGAUUUUACAGAUCCCAGAGGGCAUCCAGUAAACCCAGCAGCUAUUACCAAAUAAUUCUGGUUUUGAUGAGCUCAGCCGGUAUGAAUCAGAAGCAGGCAGACUCGCAUUUCUCUUGAAAUAUACCGAAGGUUAAACGCUAGAAGGAGAAGCAAAAAAUGUAUUUGCACAUUUA